GAAAUCGAAAUACUUUAUCUGUCAGUCAUGGUCCCAUUGUGGGGAAUAACAUAAAUAUAACAAGCAUAAUUUGUGCAACAUACAUGUACAUGGGGACAAAUUAAAAUACACAGCAACCCGUACAAGAAAUACAGCAACUACAAUUAAAAGACACAGCAACCCGAACAAGAAAUACAAACACAGCACUGUUAACGCGACAGACCAAUCUCACACCAGAGGGCGUAUUACACUACGCGACAACACCUCUGUCAACGUCUGAAUGUCAAGAUUCGCUGUAAGACUUAUUUCUACCUAUUCACGGCUACCCAUGUCCUAAAUCAUAAUGUAUCGGUUAUGCAAGAAAAUCCGUUUGGAGUGUUUCCGGUUAUGAGUUAAAAGAGAACAACACGCCGCUUCGACAGGAACAUAUUCAAAAAAACUAAAUAAAGAUGCUGCUUAUUCGGAACCAAAGACGUGGCAAUCAAGGCUAGACCCAGAUAGUAUGUCAACUGUAUGUAUAGUAGGUGCAGAGAAUUGAAGAAGAUAGAGUGUAUCAUUCUAAGGGACAAUUUAGACAGAGAUGCCUCCAAAAAAAUGUAUUUACCGAAUGCACCAAAUCGACAUGCCAGAGAACAACCCAUCAGGCAACAUGAUGGUUACAGAAUAAACGACUCUAAGCUGUUGCAGCCAGAGACUUGGACUAAACUUUGAUUACAUGUCAGAAUCUAAUGUGUAAUAAAAAUACUAGUUCAUUUUGAGCGUGGUAGAAUAAUUACUAAACUAACAAAAAUGUACAUUCGGAAUACUCCUCAUCUGACCAAUGAUAUCAAACAAGUUGUUGUCACCAUUUGGCGUCUUUUGUCCGCUGACUAAAUUCCACAUGAGAACCACUGAAUGAAAAUUAACCAAACGGGGUAGAGUUCUUCCAGAAUUGCUGUUUCUCUAAAUCAGAUUCGUUUAGAUGAUUGUGAGAGUAGAUGCCCUACAAAACCUACUUCUUUUUGAAAAAUUAUAAAACAUUGCUAUAAAACAAAGCAAACGUUUUCUCUCUAAACUGCUAUUAAGAAAGGUACCUGCAAUUUGAUACCGGUUUUUUCUAUGCAAAAAAAUAACAGCCCGUAAAACAGGCCUUUGGGUGGGGUUAAUCCAAUUCAUUUUGCCUUGGAUUCAUGGCCUUGAUUUCUUGUUGCUACCCACCCUUUUUUGUGGGCAGGCAAUAUUUUUAUGCUAGUCUUUUUACAUAUGUGUAUGCAAUAGGGGGUCAUCUUGUUAGACCCCCUAUCGGAUGUUUUUAUUUUGUGUAUAUAUGUUCUCUUUCUCAAUGUCAAUUUUAUAAAUGUAUGUAACAGGGGGUUAUCUAGUCAUUUGCAGCAUAUGAUCUUAAUUUUUACUUGGUUUUAAUGACCCCCUGUACUGUAUAUACUUUUCGUCAUUUACUAAAUAAAUGACAUUUUCUAUU